rnacentral:rRNA from 1 species
UACGAAGGGGGCUAGCGUUGCUCGGAAUCACUGGGCGUAAAGAGCGUGUAGGCGGCCAAGCAGGUCCGUUGUGAAAACUGGAGGCUCAACUUCCAGACGUCGACGGAAACCGUGUGGCUAGAGUCCGGAAGAGGAGAGUGGAAUUCCUGGUGUAGCGGUGAAAUGCGCAGAUAUCAGGAAGAACACCAAUGGCGAAGGCAGCUCUCUGGGACGGUACUGACGCUGAGACGCGAAAGCGUGGGGAGCGAACAGG